rnacentral:piRNA from 1 species
UAAUUUCUACUGAAAGGUUAUGGGCC